rnacentral:misc_RNA from 1 species
UGUUGUAGGACUAGCUUUUUUGUACAUAAUUCUUGUUUAUUUUAAUCCCAUUUGAGAUUUAAUAUGAUAAAUUCUUCUAAGAUGACUUGGAGAACACUGUCAUAGAAAGAUAUUUUAUUGCCAAUGAUUUUCUUGUUCAACUAUCUAAAAAAGUGUAUUGGCAAUGGCAUUCAUGUAUUCACAUUAAGCAGGCAAUUUAGGUGUUAUUUUACUAGCAGAGCUAAAUAAAUUAUUCAAGGACUAAAUGUAUAAUAUUUCUUUGGCUUUAGAUUCCAUCUUACUAGUAAGGAAAGAACCAUAAUGGUUUGAACAAAAUGUUCCCUUAGAGAUCUCUGAUGUGCCCAUUUCACUAGCAGCUAACUGGUAGCGUGGAGUCCUUGAAAAAGUGAAAAGCAGAAUAAGCAAAUGGUUUGUAUCAAAGAUCAAUGAAGACGCUCAAUUUAUUAUGUUAACAAUUCUUCUAUCCUCAAACAAAAUACUGUCAUAUGAGCAAUAAUCUUAUUUCAUUGCAUUUCCAACACUGGUAUCUUUCAAUGUUUCACUGAAACCUAACUCAAUGAUUGGCGUUCUCUGUUAGAUUAAGUAAAUUUUUAUGGAGUUUGUUGGCAACUG